CCAUCUGUGUGUGAAUUUACAUAUACACUCGCGUGCACUCAGCAUAUCAAUAGUUCACAAAGAAAAAGUAACUUGCGGAAUGUUCCGCUAGGGUGACAUCGGUCAGUUCGUCGUAUGCAAGUUUUAAUAUGGCGAAACGGAGCCGUGAAGUUAAAUGGAAUAGAGUAUAUUUUCAUUCUAAUUCUGAUUCUAACUUUAAUUCAAAUAUUCAACAAAGAUAUAAAACCGAAAUAACUGAAACAAGCGAGGACAUGCGGCAAUUUUGAAUACUAUAAAUAUCAAAAAAAUAGAAAGCUCGGGUGAGAUUAAUAUACAUAUGACUAAAUAAUAAAUAAAACUUCGUGACAAAACAACAAGACAUUCGAGGCACUAGUACAAUAACACAAUGAUACAUUAAUAACAAUAAUACAUGUUUUGGCCGAGCGACUUGGCUCGUUACAUUCAUCCACGAUACAUAUGCAAUAUGAGCCAGUCGUCGCGACACUUUUGUGUUGACAAAUUAACCUAUUCAAAUAUGAAAGACAAGGAAUGACGCGACGAGAAAACGUUCAACUGGGCCGACCAAUGUCAAGAAAAAUAUACGGUGGCAUCUAAAAGAGGUUGCCUUGAUAUUGCAGAAAAUACAAGAUAUUAAAAAAUAAAAUUGCACCCAUUCAGUGAAUCCCAUGAAAUACAGCAUAAUUCAUUUAAGACAUCUUUCAAUAUAAACAAUAGGUAACAAGUUAUUUUGAUAGUACUUCUUGUCAACUCACUCUGUAUAAAGAUAGAUAACAUGUUAAAAUGCAAACGAAAUCCUACUGUACAUGCACUUAUGUAAUCAAAGA